UACGAAGGGGGCUAGCGUUUGUUCGGAAUUACUGGGCGUAAAGCGCGCGCAGGCGGCCUUUCAAGUCAGGGGUGAAAGCCCGGAGCUCAACUCCGGAAUUGCCUUUGAAACUGUCAGGCUCGAGUACGGGAGAGGUGAGUGGAAUUCCCAGUGUAGAGGUGAAAUUCGUAGAUAUUGGGAAGAACACCGGUGGCGAAGGCGGCUCACUGGCCCGUUUCUGACGCUCAGGCGCGACAGCGUGGGGAUCAAACAGG
rnacentral:rRNA from 1 species